GAUCAACGCAUCCUUCAAAAGGACUGUGCCUGUUCAUCAGCUCAGCUGUGUCUGCCCUGUGAAAUAUGGCAAGGAUAUUAAUUCCAGGAGAAUGGAGCUUCAUGACAAAAGAUGCCCAAUGAAGGACGAAUUAGGGACAUACUGAAAAUGGGAAAACGAUUCAAGACAGACAAGAGCUGCGGCGGUGGGUAGAGGACUCCUACAGAUGCGAGGUAAGGAGCUUUCCUCUCUGCAGUUGCAGGAUCCUUAAGCGCUCAUGAAGAUGGUGCCACAGCCCCUAGACUCUCUCAACACACACUUUCUCAGGUGUUGGCUUUUUCAGAUCGCCCCUUCUGCUGCAAGAAAGGCCCUCAACAACUGGGUAAGUUUUUUUUUUCCCCCUCCUUGCUUUUGGGCCAAGUCAGGACAUGUAUGUAUUUUUCUCCCCACAGCUCUGUGCCCAAGCCUUGCAGAGGGAGACGGCAGAGAGGAAGGCUGCCUGCAAGCAGCACAGGUCAAUUCUUUUUCUCUAUCUUCAAGAUGGGAAAUGAUGGAAAAGCAAGGAGUUCCAGAGAGACACAUGAGUCAGGAAGCCAUAAAGGCUUAAGGGCUGAGGGCUGCAGGGCUGUCACUGUUCUGUUUCCAGAAAUAACGAGAGGAUGCCGUUGAGCUCCACUGCAGUCGGUCUUACGGCCCAGUAGACCCUGCCGAUCCCUUUUACUCACGAUGGUGUGGAGUCCCCUUCCCAAAAUAUGCAGGGUUUCUUUUUGUUGCUGGGAUUUUCUUUUCUGCAAUAAGGUAGGUAAUUAACCUUCAGAAUAUCCGCCGUAAUCCCAGAAGUGAAAACUCAUUGAUCCAACGUUAAUAUGUGCUUUGUGCAAUUUUGAAUGUUCUUUGGCAAAGUCAAUUCCAUAGUUCAUCACAGUCCCGUCUGUUCUUAACUGUGUUGAGCAAAAACGGCCCCACCCUCACCCAGUGUUGCCCUUGAUCUAAUAUUCUAAGUGUCAGAGGUUCCAUAUUUUAAUAGAAAAUGUGCCCCGGCUGUGAGGUGAUGGAGAGUGGACGUCACUCAUUGCCUACAGGCACAAUUCCCAAUGAAGGCCUUAACUGAUGCUCAGCCCAGCUGGUUCUCGUGUGGCUUCUGUGUCUCCGACAGCUGCUGAAUCCUCUGAUCACACAUCAUGGGACUUACACACUUGAAAUCAAACACAGUUUUAAACUGCUUCUGUUGUUGAGAAUUCCCACCUCAUUUUUCCAUGGACAAAAUUAUCCUUUAUGUCAUAGUGCACUUAAAAUUUGGUAUUACCUAGAAGUUAAAGAAAUAUGAUAGCCGUGCCAAACUGAUAUCUGUAUGUAGGAUUAUUCUAUCAGAAAACCCUCUCCCAGUUCCCCUGAAGCUCUUCAGGAAUCCCCAUCUCCCCAGAGCUCUUUGUGCCCACAGAUGGCACCUCCAAAGUGCGGAAGACCCUUUGUCAAGAAGGGAAGCAGAAGGGGGACGAGAGGGUCUUGCAGGCAGAGCUGGAAUGGACUUCCACUCUGCUUCUUGCCAGCUGUGUGAUGCUGGAUGAAAUUUCUCCUUCCUCUGGGAGCCUCUGUUUUCUUAGAUUUGCAGCAGGGUGGUCACACUGACCUUGCAGAUUUCUGAGAAUCAGAGACAGCACAUGAAAAGCCUGGAGGCCAUUCUCUUAAGAGUAGCCGCGACUCAUGUGUGGACAAUGGGCUUUUCAUGCUUCUCUUUCUCUCUGUUUAUCUGAUGCAAGGAACAUGCUCUGGUGAUGGUGGUGAGGGAGGAAUGAGGAUAGACAUAGACACCCCUGUGUCAGAAACAUGCUUCUUUGUUACUGGGUUAUGACUUUGUCUUCCCAGGGACAGGCCCCCAGCCUGCCUACAUUUGCAGACAGAGUGGUGUGUGGGGAUAACAGUUUGUCCCCAUGACUUUUCUUCACUCCCCUGCCAUCGGCAGGACUCAGUUGAAGGGAGGUUUGUUUUGGGGGGGGACAUUGAUGCUGCCAUUUUGAAACCUGGAGGAGGGAAAGGUACAAGGGACUAUCACCUGCGGCAUAGGGUGCAGCUUGUGUUGGUUUUGGUGUUUUUGUCCAUCAUAUUCAUAUAUUUCAAAACAUUUUCUCCUCCUGACUUGCAGGUCAAU
ensembl:lncRNA